UAGGGAAUAUUAGAAAUGGACGCAAGUCUGAUCUAGCAACACCGCGUGUGCGAAGAAGGCCUUCGGGUUGUAAAGCACUUUUUGAGAGGAUGAGGAAGGACGGUACUCUCAGAAUAAGUCUCGGCUAACUACGUGCCAGCAGCCGCGGUAACACGUAGGGGGCGAACGUUAUCCGGAUUUACUGGGCGUAAAGCGCGUGUAGGUGGUUUGGUAAGUAGGGCGUGAAAGCUCCUGGCUCAGCUGGGAGAGGCCGUUCUAAACUGCCGAACUAGAGGAUGGUAGAGGGAGGUGGAAUUCCGGGUGUAGCGGUGGAAUGCGCAGAUAUCCGGAGGAACACCAGUGGCGAAAGCGGCCUCCUGGACCAUUCCUGACACUCAGACGCGAAAGCUAGGGUAGCAAACGG
rnacentral:rRNA from 1 species